GUGUCGGAAGUGCAAUUGCUUAGCAUGCGCUCCCGGUAAGGGUGAAUUGCGAGUUCGAUUCCCGCCCGACGUU